GAUGAACGCUGGCGGCGUGCCUAAUACAUGCAAGUCGAGCGAAUGGAUUAAGAGCUUGCUCUUAUGAAGUUAGCGGCGGACGGGUGAGUAACACGUGGGUAACCUGCCCAUAAGACUGGGAUAACUCCGGGAAACCGGGGCUAAUACCGGAUAACAUUUUGAACCGCAUGGUUCGAAAUUGAAAGGCGGCUUCGGCUGUCACUUAUGGAUGGACCCGCGUCGCAUUAGCUAGUUGGUGAGGUAACGGCUCACCAAGGCAACGAUGCGUAGCCGACCUGAGAGGGUGAUCGGCCACACUGGGACGGAGACACGGCCCAGACUCCUCCGGGAGGCAGCAGUAGGGAAUCUUCCUCAAUGGACGAAAGUCUGACGGAGCAACGCCGCGUGAGUGAUGAAGGCUUUCGGGUCGUAAAACUCUGUUGUUAGGGAAGAACAAGUGCUAGUUGAAUAAGCUGGCACCUUGACGGUACCUAACCAGAAAGCCACGGCUAACUACGUGCCAGCAGCCGCCGCCG
rnacentral:rRNA from 1 species